AUGCUCCAAACUUAUUUUCAAAAAAAGUUUGGAGAUAAGGGAUAUUAUUGUGGUACUAUAAUUUUACCAGUAAAAAGCUCUUUAUGUUAAAAAUUUGAUAAUAUAUUAUAGAAGAUAAUUUUUCUUUUUUUAAAUUUUAAAAAUAGGCUUUUAACAAAUUCUGGCGAAGCCUGUGCCAGCCGCCGCGGUUAUACAAGCAGGAUGUUAUAUUUUUUUUAAGUAAAUGUUAAUUUAUGUUAGUGUUAAUUAAUUAGGUGAAAUUAUUAAUUAGGAUAGGUUAAUAGGAUUUUUGAAAUUUAUAUUUAAAAUUAGGAUUAGAUACCCUGUUAUUAUAGAAUGAUAUUUAGAGAGUAAUUUUAGGUUUAUAAAAUUUAAAUAUAAUGGCGGUAUUUUAAGCUUUUUAGAGGAAUUUAUUCUUUAAUUGAUAAGACUCAAGGAUCUUUCUUAAUUUGGUUAGGGCAAUUUGUAUAUCGCUAUCAUCUUAUUAUAUUGGAAGAUUAUUAUAGAGAGAAUAUUUAAUUAAAAUGUUAGGUCAAAAUGCAGUGUAAAAUUAAGUGUGAAAUAAAUUACAGUGAUUUAUAUUGAUUAUAAAGGAAGAUAAAGUUAGGAUUUAAUAGUAAAUUUUAAUUAUAAUGUAAAGUUGAAAUAAGUUCUAGGAUAUGCACAUAUCGCCCGUCGCUCUCAUGUGUGAGAUAAGUCGUAACAAAGUAAAAGUACCGGAAGGUGUUUUU
rnacentral:ncRNA from 1 species